rnacentral:rRNA from 1 species
UACGGAGGGGGCUAGCGUUGUUCGGAAUUACUGGGCGUAAAGCGCACGUAGGCGGCUUUGUAAGUUAGAGGUGAAAGCCCGGGGCUCAACUCCGGAAUUGCCUUUAAGACUGCAUCGCUAGAAUUGUGGAGAGGUGAGUGGAAUUCCGAGUGUAGAGGUGAAAUUCGUAGAUAUUCGGAAGAACACCGGUGGCGAAGGCGGCGACCUGGUCCGUGACUGACGCUGAGGCGCGAAAGCGUGGGGAGCAAACAGG